AUCUUUGAAUCAAAUAGAUAUAUAUUCAUCCAAAACAAUUUGCAGCUGCACCCAAAAGGCCAAAACACUGAAAAAAAUUUGCAAUUGAGGAAUCUUUGGCCUUCAUUUUCCUGAGUUCCUUCCAUAGGCAGAUUACUUCAACAAACUUAACUUCACUCAUUUUUUCCUUUUUCCCAUUUUGGACUCUUUGCCAACAAGGAAGGAAGAUAAUGUUCAAAUCAUUCCUUCAAAAGGCCGUGUCUAAACAGCUUAGUUAUCAUCCAAAUGUCACUAAACAGCUUUGUCAUCAUCCUUUCCAGUUCCAUGCAGAGAGAGGAAUGCACAGCAGAAAUAAGAAAGCAAUGGAAUUCAUAGCAAAAGGGUGGAAUGCUCUGCAGGAAGUUGAUAGAGUAAUUGAUUAUUGUGAGCGUAAUGAUAAACGUCUUAUUCCUUCACUUAGGACAGCAAAGGAGAAUUUUGAGUUGGCCCUAGAAGCAGACAACUCAAAUACGCAUGCAAGAUAUUGGCUGUCAAAACUUCAUCUCAAGUACCAUGUUCCUGGGGCAUGCAAAGCUGUAGGAGCUGCUUUGUUGGUGGAAGCUGCAGAGAUGGGUGAUCCAGAAGCUCAAUUUGAAUUAGGUUGCCGUUUAAGAGUUGAGAAUGAGUAUGUGCAAUCAGAUCAGCAAGCAUUUUACUACUUGGAGAAGGCUGUUGACCAGUUGCAUCCAGGUGCACUUUACCUCUUAGGUGCUGUGUAUCUUACUGGGGAUUGCGUGAAAAAGGAUGUCGGUUCUGCGUUGUGGUGCUUCCAUAGAGCAUCUCAGAAGGGUCAUGCUGGAGCAGCUAUAGCUUAUGGAUCCCUUCUGCUCACAGGUGUGGAACUUCCAGAAUCAAUAACAAGAUUUUAUGUGAAAAGGGGGCCGUCAAGCAGAAUAUCUAGGAGGAAUGGAGUUGAUCCUGACUUUAAUCCGAUUGAGCUGGCCAGAGAACAAUUUGAAAUUGCUGCAAAAGCAGGAUGCGACCUUGGAUUUAGAUGGUUACAAAGACUUGAUGAGGAAGUGAAACGUCUGCAGUCUUCUUAGUUCACAAAUAUCUGAGACUCUAAAGAGUCGAUUAAUGUGUACCUACAAGGAUUGAUAUUGUGCUGGGAAAGAGUGAUAAUGUGAUGAUGAUGAGCCGAUGGUUGCUGCAGCUGAGAUAUCUGUGGAAUGAUGAGGAUCAUGAGUUACGAGCAAGCUGAUUUUUCUUCGUUUAUUAGUUAUUUGUCCUUAAUUAGGAAAAAAAGUUGAAUGUUUGCUGCAGCUUUUUGGUUAAUGAAGGGAUCGGUUAGAACUUGUUAGGAACAUCGUCUCAUCUUUUAGGAAUGUCUUGUUGCUUAAAAUCUUUUGCCUUUUUGCUGAAUGUAUAUGGCUUGAUCAUGACACGUUGAAAAGUGAAUAAGAGAAGAUUGCUUGUUCGUCUUAAA